AUUGAACGCUGGCGGCAGGCCUAACACAUGCAAGUCGAACGAGUGGCGGACGGGUUAGUAAUGUCUGGGAAACUGCCCGAUGGAGGGGGAUAACUACUGGAAACGGUAGCUAAUACCGCAUCCCAUCGGCUGUGCCCAGAUGGGCUUAGCUAGUAGGUGGGGUAACGGCUCCCCUAGGCGACGCUCCCUAGCUGGUCUGAGAGGAGGACCAGCCACACUGGAACUGAGACACGGUCCAGACGCCUACGGGAGGUAGCAGUGGGGAAGAUUGGACAAGGGGCGAAAGCGUGAUGCAGCCAUGCCGCGUGUAUGAAGAAGGCCUUCGGGUUGUAAAGUACUUUAAGCGAGGAGGCGUUACGAGCAGAAGAAGCACCGGCUAACUCCGUGCCAGCAGCCGCGGUAAUUC
rnacentral:rRNA from 1 species